rnacentral:rRNA from 1 species
UACGAAGGGGGCUAGCGUUGUUCGGAAUUACUGGGCGUAAAGCGCGCGCAGGCGGUCUUCCAAGUCAGUGGUGAAUGCCCGGAGCUCAACUCCGGAACUGCCAUUGAAACUGUUGGACUUGAGUACGAGAGAGGUGAGUGGAAUUCCCAGUGUAGAGGUGAAAUUCGUAGAUAUUGGGAAGAACACCGGUGGCGAAGGCGGCUCACUGGCUCGUAACUGACGCUCAGGCGCGACAGCGUGGGGAUCAAACAGG